UGUGUAGGCGGUUGUUUAAGUUUGGUGUGAAAUCUCCCGGCUCAACUGGAAGGGUGCGCCGAAUACUGAAUGACUAGAGUGCGGGAGAGGAAAGUGGAAUUCCUGGUGUAGCGGUGAAAUGCGUAGAUAUCAGGAGGAACACCGGUGGUGUAGACGGCUUUCUGGACCGUAACUGACGCUGAAACACGAAAGCGUGGGUAGCAAACAGGAUUAGAUACCCUGGUAGUCCACGCCCUAAACGAUGCAUAUUUGGUGUGGGCAGUUCAUUCUGUCCGUGCCGGAGCUAACGCGUUAAAUAUGCCGCCUGGGGAGUACAGUCGCAAGGCUGAA
rnacentral:rRNA from 1 species